GAGUUUGAUCCUGGCUCAGAUUGAACGCUGGCGGCAUGCCUUACACAUGCAAGUCGAACGGCAGCACGGGGGCAACCCUGGUGGCGAGUGGCGAACGGGUGAGUAAUACAUCGGAACGUGUCCUGUAGUGGGGGAUAGCCCGGCGAAAGCCGGAUUAAUACCGCAUACGAUCUACGGAAGAAAGCGGGGGCUCCUUCGGGACCUCGCGCUAUAGGGGCGGCCGAUGGCAGAUUAGCUAGUUGGUGGGGUAAAGGCCUACCAAGGCGACGAUCUGUAGCUGGUCUGAGAGGACGACCAGCCACACUGGGACUGAGACACGGCCCAGACUCCUACGGGAGGCAGCAGUGGGGAAUUUUGGACAAUGGGGGAAACCCUGAUCCAGCAAUGCCGCGUGUGUGAAGAAGGCCUUCGGGUUGUAAAGCACUUUUGUCCGGAAAGAAAACUUCUGCCCUAAUACGGCGGGAGGAUGACGGUACCGGAAGAAUAAGCACCGGCUAACUACGUGCCAGCAGCCGCGGUAAUACGUAGGGUGCGAGCGUUAAUCGGAAUUACUGGGCGUAAAGCGUGCGCAGGCGGUUCGUUAAGACAGAUGUGAAAUCCCCGGGCUUAACCUGGGAACUGCAUUUGUGACUGGCGAGCUAGAGUAUGGCAGAGGGGGGUAGAAUUCCACGUGUAGCAGUG
rnacentral:rRNA from 1 species